rnacentral:rRNA from 1 species
UACGUAGGUGGCAAGCGUUGUCCGGAAUUAUUGGGCGUAAAGCGUGCGUAGGCGGUCUAUUAAGUCUUAUUUGAAAGCCCAUGGCUUAACCAUGGAGGGUGAUAGGAAACUGGUAGACUUGAGUACAGGAGAGGAAGGUGGAAUUCCACAUGUAGCGGUGAAAUGCGUAGAUAUGUGGAGGAACACCGGUGGCGAAGGCGGCCUUCUGGCCUGUGUCUGACGCUGAGGCAAGAAAGCGUGGGUAGCAAACAGG